GGCAGUAAAAAAAGCGAAACAUUUGUUACAGAAUUAUUAAAUCUUUUAAUUUCUUGUGAAAAAGGAGAAAAGGGAGAUAACAUUCAUUCAAUUAUUGAAAACAAAAAAAAAGAAAUGAAAGAAGUUAUCAGUGAAAAUAAUGAUAUAAUAGAAGAUAUAAAAAAUAUAGAAAGUUUGUACAUGGAUAGUAAUAUAUUGGAAACUAACAACCAAGGUAGUAAUAAUUUUAUAAAAAAAUCAAAAGAUAAAGAAAAUGUGAACAUAUUAAAAGAAAAAGGUAAUAGGUACAAUGAAA